GUUGGAAGUCGAACGACUUUGGAAAACUACCCCCUCACGAAGAGAUAGUGCGAUCCUCCACACCUGGGGCGCGAUUUCCACGAGUCGUUUCUUGCACUCCAUCGUAUUUAAGAAAGUGUGAUUAAUUCCGUUCAAGUUUAACAUACGUUUAUUUCGAUUGUUUCGAGUGAAUUUUGCUCGCCAUUUUAUUUGAUCGAGGUUAUUGCUUUCGAUUAUUCGCUCUUUGAAAUAAUUGAUGUAAUCGGGAUAAUACAAAUAUUGAAUUUUUAGUUAUUUCUGUUGAAAAUACGUUAAUAAAUAAAAGAAUAAAAAAUUGAAAGAGGGGAAGUUUCUUUCAGGAUGAAUAACGCGAUUCGAGAUAAACAUAGAUAGAUGUAUGAAUUAUUUUUAAAUAAUUUUUUACUCGUAUUAAUUCGUUCGAGAUAGAUUAAAAAAUUAUUCGAUAUAAUUGAAAUUUUUAUUUGAACGAAUUAAUUCCCGUUUCCGACAAGUGUUGGGCAUAUUUCAUUUCAAGUAUAUAUACGCAAAUUGAAAUGAUGAAUUAUCGAUUUUAAUAUUUUUAUUUUUUCGAAUGAUGUGAAAAAUUUAAUUUUAUUUCCCGUGAAACGCAUAUAUAUUAUUUUCAAAUAUUUAAUUAUUUAUUUAUUUAUUUAUUUAUUUAUUCGAGUUAAUCCACUUAAAUAAAUUAGUAAAUUUGACGUAAAAGCUUGCGAUGAAACGUUAUUUUAUUUCAACUUUCAUUCUAUCCGCGAUAUGUAUUGUUAAAUUCUGGGGGAAUUUAUGCUAACCACAUUUAAAACUAAAAUGUUAUUCCCAUGAAACAAUUGGUGGGAAAGAUCAUCCGUGUUGUACUAAAUCUAACACCAUUGUAACGAGCGAAAACAAUUUUUCUACAGGCGUAGAUUAUUCAACGUGAAAAAUAUAUUUAAAUAAAAAAUUACUUCGUUUGAAAACUUUGUGAGUGAGAAAGUAAUUUAAAACGCAAAUUAUUUAUACCCUUUUUUAGAUAAUAAUUAGAUAACAAUACAACUUGAUUGGAAAAAAGACAAAGGUUAAAUAUUAUUAUAAUAAUAAUUUUAAUAUUCGUUACUUGAAAUUUUUUCACGUUUGAAAUAGAAUCUAAACUUUCCUAUUUAUCACUCCUUUUAUUAUCCUAAUAAAAUAAAUCAUUCAAAGCUAACCUAUUUUAUCUUAAAAUUACGAUAUAAAAUAUUCGUAAACAUCUUAAUUUCAAAUCCAACCUCGCGAGAGAAAAAAUUCACGAAACUAUCUAAUACGUGACAAUUAAUAUUCUCGUUUCGUUUAAUGUAUCCCUGUUCGCUGAUAAUAGCCGUCCGCGUAUCGAGUAAUUGCGCUACUUUUUCACGUCUUCUUUCCCGCAGCAACACCCGCACUAUUCGCAUGAAUAAUGCGUCGCGAUUAAUUGCGAGUCGCCCACGGCGUUUAGCCGAUACUACCCGUGUUCCCAGAUUUUUCCACCCGUGAAAAACGCUUGCUCGCGCGUUUUUUUUUUUUUUUUUUUUUUUUUUUUUGAAAAGCGGCAUGCGCAACACAAAUUUACACCGUGAUAUUCGAGCUUUAUUAUUCGAACGUAAAUUUGAAAAUCGCAACAUCGUAGACACGUAUUAUCGUACGAGCUUUCGAACAAGUCGAACGAUAUUAUUUUAUCCGAGUCUCGUUUGCGUUCUACGAUUAAGUAGAUUGAAGCGAAACUCUUGAAUCCGCUACGAUUCGCUUUAAAAUUUCGAUCGAAUUCGUCUAUUAAAAUUGACGAAACUUUGAAUCGCCGUAACUCCGAAGUUAGUUAACGCAAAACGAUAAAUGGACGAUCGUUGGAAGCGGGGAAUCAUGCUCUUUAAAACGGUGCUUGAUUUAUCGCGAUACGAUUUCCAGUUUCCGAGAUAUCGUUGUGUAAAGAAGAGAGUAAUUUUUAACUUGUCCACUAUCUCCGUCCUUUUCGCGCGCUUCAACCAAUCACUUCCACCUCCUCCCCACCACUCGACCCAGUGUAUCUUAGAAACUCUAUUACAUUCUAUUAAAAUCAGAAAAACUUUAAACCGCUGUAACUCCGGACGUAUCGACUUCUGUUCAACGAAUGAAAUACGAUUAGAAGCGUGGAAUUUUGCUCUGUGUCUUAUAUUAUUUCCAAUCUUGUUACACACGCACAUCUCCUGUUUGCAUAUUCUCGUUUAUUUUGAUAUAAACCUUGCACUGGUCAAUUGCGAGCUACCAAAUGUGAUGAUGAAUAUCUCGAUAACUGUAAAUAUGACGAAUUUUCUUUGUACAUGAAUCGCUUCUUGUGUUUAUUACGAUGUAAAUAAAAAUAUGUAUAAAUCAAGAAAACGAACUAAACGAACUAACUAAAUUAUACUCUUUAGAGUUCGUUCAAUUUUUAUUAAACAUUUUUAAAAUUAUUAAACACGUAUACGUAGUAAUCGAAGCAACUGUUCCAGUUACGUGUUCAAGCCUGUUUAUGCCGGGUAUACGCGGCAUGAAGAAAGAAUUUCUCUUAAUUACGCGAGAAUUUCUCCUAACAGGAGUCAAAGAGGAACGCUGAAUACAUCAUAUUUCUAGCAAUUUCAUCGUAAAAACAACGAUUUUGCUUGAAAAGUUUUUCAACAUCCCUUGGAAAUAUGGAGGAUUUUAAACUUUUAAGACCUUCGAAAACGUUGGACAUCAUUAGUCCGUAAACGAGCGAGUGCUUGAAAAUUUACAAGAUGGUGGCUCGAGGCGGCAAGUCUUGAAACUUAUGGACCCUCGUUAAUAACUGGAACGGAAAUAAACAUCGAUCUCUUCGACGUUUGUUACGCAAAAACGCAAUGUAUUAUUCGAUUAAUUGUUAAAAAAUCUCAAAACAUAUAAAUAAAUAUAUAUAUA